AUGACUCUCAGUGAAGGAAAGUCUUGUGGACAGGGCUUCAAGCUGCACCUACCUAUAAAUUAGUCACUGAUGCUCAGUUUGGAUUCCACCAUGAUCAUUUGCCUCCAGACUUCAUCACAGCCUUGGUCUAAACAUGGACAAGCAAGUUGAAUUCUAGAGGUGACGUGAGAGUGACUGCCUUUGACGCCAAUGUAGUCUUUACCAAGUGUGGCAUCAAGUAGCCCUUGUUGGAUGGAAGUCCACAAGAAGCAAGGGGAAAACUCUUUACUGGCUGGAGUCAUACCUAGCACAAAGAAAGGAAAUGCGGGUUCCGUGAGAUGGCUAUCCUUGCUUUCUUGGAGGGAGGAGGGUGGAAGGAAGGAGAUUCUUGACAUCCAGUAACAGUAAUAUCAUCAAAUAGACUAAUCAGCCAAUCAACAUUGAAGAAUUCACUCAGACAACAAACUGGGAAG